CCUUAGAGUUCUGGGCCGCACGCGCGCUACACUGACAGAGCCAGCGAGUCUACCACCUUUGCCGGAAGGCAUGGGUAAUCUUGUGAAACUCUGUCGUGAUGGGGAUAGAGCAUUGCAAUUAUUGCUCUUCAACGAGGAAUACCUAGUAAGCGUGAUUCAUCAGAUCGCGUUGAUUACGUCCCUGCCCUUUGUACACACCGCCCGUCGCUACUACCGAUUGAAUGGCUUAGUGAGGCCUCCGGAUUGGCUAUUGGGAGCUCGCGAGAGCACCCGACUGCCGAGAAGUUGUACGAACUUGGUCAUUUAGAGGAAGUAAAAGUCGUAACAAGGUUUCCGUAGGUGAACCUGCGGAAGGAUCAUUAGUGAAUAUUAGGGCGUCCAACUUAACUUGGAGCCCGAACUCUCACUUUCUAACCCUGUGCAUCUGUUUCUGGUCAGUAGCUCUCUCGGGAGUGAACGCCAUUCACUUAAAACACAAAGUCUAUGAAUGUAUAAAAUUUAUAACAAAACAAAACUUUCAACAACGGAUCUCUUGGCUCUCGCAUCGAUGAAGAACGCAGCGAAAUGCGAUAAGUAAUGUGAAUUGCAGAAUUCAGUGAAUCAUCGAAUCUUUGAACGCACCUUGCGCUCUCUGGUAUUCCGGAGAGCAUGCCUGUUUGAGUGUCAUGAAAUCUUCAACCCUCUCUUUUCUUAGUGAAUCGAGAGGUGCUUGGAUCCUGAGCGCUGCUGGCUUCGGCCUA
rnacentral:rRNA from 1 species